GAUGAACGCUGGCGGCGUGCCUAAUACAUGCAAGUCGAGCGAACGGACGAGAAGCUUGCUUCUCUGAUGCUAGCGGCGGACGGGUGAGUAACACGUGGAUAACCUACCUAUAAGACUGGGAUAACUUCGGGAAACCGGAGCUAAUACCGGAUAAUAUUUUGAACCGCAUGGUUCAAAAGUGAAAGACGGUCUUGCUGUCACUUAUAGAUGGAUCCGCGCUGCAUUAGCUAGUUGGUAAGGUAACGGCUUACCAAGGCAACGAUGCAUAGCCGACCUGAGAGGGUGAUCGGCCACACUGGAACUGAGACACGGUCCAGACUCCUACGGGAGGCAGCAGUAGGGAAUCUUCCGCAAUGGGCGAAAGCCUGACGGAGCAACGCCGCGUGAGUGAUGAAGGUCUUCGGAUCGUAAAACUCUGUUAUUAGGGAAGAACAUAUGUGUAAGUAACUGUGCACAUCUUGACGGUACCUAAUCAGAAAGCCACGGCUAACUACGUGCCAGCAGCCGCGGUAAUACGUAGGUGGCAAGCGUUAUCCGGAAUUAUUGGGCGUAAAGCGCGCGUAGGCGGUUUUUUAAGUCUGAUGUGAAAGCCCACGGCUCAACCGUGGAGGGUCAUUGGAAACUGGAAAACUUGAGUGCAGAAGAGGAAAGUGGAAUUCCAUGUGUAGCGGUGAAAUGCGCAGAGAUAUGGAGGAACACCAGUGGCGAAGGCGACUUUCUGGUCUGUAACUGACGCUGAUGUGCGAAAGCGUGGGGAUCAAACAGGAUUAGAUACCCUGGUAGUCCACGCCGUAAACGAUGAGUGCUAAGUGUUAGGGGGUUUCCGCCCCUUAGUGCUGCAGCUAACGCAUUAAGCACUCCGCCUGGGGAGUACGACCGCAAGGUUGAAACUCAAAGGAAUUGACGGGGACCCGCACAAGCGGUGGAGCAUGUGGUUUAAUUCGAAGCAACGCGAAGAACCUUACCAAAUCUUGACAUCCUUUGACAACUCUAGAGAUAGAGCCUUCCCCUUCGGGGGACAAAGUGACAGGUGGUGCAUGGUUGUCGUCAGCUCGUGUCGUGAGAUGUUGGGUUAAGUCCCGCAACGAGCGCAACCCUUAAGCUUAGUUGCCAUCAUUAAGUUGGGCACUCUAAGUUGACUGCCGGUGACAAACCGGAGGAAGGUGGGGAUAACGUCAAAUCAUCAUGCCCCUUAUGAUUUGGGCUACACACGUGCUACAAUGGACAAUACAAAGGGCAGCGAAACCGCGAGGUCAAGCAAAUCCCAUAAAGUUGUUCUCAGUUCGGAUUGUAGUCUGCAACUCGACUACAUGAAGCUGGAAUCGCUAGUAAUCGUAGAUCAGCAUGCUACGGUGAAUACGUUCCCGGGUCU
rnacentral:rRNA from 1 species